rnacentral:rRNA from 1 species
CUCGAUCUCUUUCUCGAGAAAAAACGCGAUCUCGAUCUCGUCCGCCUGUCGGAGUCAACACCAACGGCGGCGCUGCUUCUCGAGGACCCCGCGGCCGAGCCCCAUCCACUCGCUCCCUGUGCCUUUGCCUCGACGUGCGCCUCCACAAGCCGUCGCUCCCGCCACCGCCUUCCCUACCAUGUGCUCCCCGGGCGACGCCCUCGAAUCCUCUGCGGGCGCCCACCCUCGUGCCGGCCCCAAACCCUGCCAGUAUCCUAACUAGAUGUCCUCUCUAGAACGGGCGGUUAGCGAGGAUGCUGGUGAUGCACGGGGCCUGCUCGAGAAUUUCCAGGUUGAGCUAGUUGCGGUUGUCCCACCGGCAGACCAUCUUGUCAUUGUAGUGCUGCUCUUUGUGAUAGGGCAUGAGCAGGACGUCGGCACGAACCUCGUCCAGACAGCGGCGGAUGGUCUUCAGGAAUCCUGUGGCUGCAGCAUAGGUGCGCAUCUCUCCCUGCGACACAGCCAGACGAAUAAUGUCCUUACCGCUUUAUUUCGUGAGAGGGUAAAAUACAUCUGUACAUUAUUUACAAGCGUAUCAUUUUACCUGUCUCCCAAGUGCGCCCUUACCCAUGAUGGUGAUUACCACUGUGACGAUCUUCCUCUAUAUUCGGGACGAUGGUAGGAGGUGGAUUCACAUACCCCCUGGGCGCCUCUCCACCGCUGCACCCCAUUUCCCUUCCUAAGGUUGUGUUUUAUUUCACAUUGAUCAAUUUGUGGGGAGCAGGCCCAUAUGUAGCAAGGAGCAAGCUGCACAAGAAAUUAAUUGGAACCAAGAUACUCAUCUUUAAUUUAAUAGUAAGGGGUUGAGACUUGGACAAACAAGAACAAGAACAAUUUAUUAUCAAGAUAUCUGCUAUGCAAAUCUACAACGAGAUCGUCAAGGAUCUUCUACGGCCUGACUCUGGCCCCCUUCGCUUGUUAGAUGAUCCCGAGGUUUGCAACAGAAAGGAACCAUCGUGGACAAGUUGGAUGAAGGAAUCGCCAAGGACAGCCAGUAUCUAAGGCAUCUAAUAGCCAUUUGUGAAGGCACUACUACAUAUGCAUAACAAAGACAGCUUGGUGAAACUGCACUAAGUGACACAAGUACACAUUCCCACCAAAUCAUUAGGCUGUUUAUAUCUAUAUCCAGACUGUGGAGAGUAUGCUCCAUGAAGCGCCAGGCCGUGUUAUAUCUUUUAUUGCUAGCUUGAAUUUCGUUGACCUUGCUUGAAGCGAGCGUGCUGCACAAACACAUGCUGUUAGUGCAAGGUUGAAAGAAGGCGCCAUAUUAAUCGCAGCUUGUUGACUUUGACUACUUUCAUCCGAAAGCUAAGGUUUAGAUUUCUUCUCAAAAACAAAAUUUCCACUUGUACAUCACAAGAUUGGAUAGAGCUCUCAACAAAUUAAUGGGCACUGCCUCCUAAUGAAUUUCAUGAACUGCAUGAUGAACAUAUUCUUGAUAAGCUACUCUUUUAAGUGAAAAGCUAAGGUUUCGUACUUCCAAUUAUUAUACAAUCUAAAUUGUUGAAGUAUAGGAUGAAAAUAUUCUUGCUAAGCAGAUUUUGUUAUUGUUGCACAAGUAGCUACAUCUUUUCAAAUGCAUAAAAUUGCUAAAAUGUCGUUCACAUUAUGUGAGUCAUACAUAUUGGUUUCUUGAUUUUAGUAGCAAAAUCUGAUGAUAACAUGUUUUAAACUUGCAUUGUAGCUCAGAGAAGAUAAGUUUCAAAUCAUAGGAUCCUCUGAUGACAUUUCUGCCAUACAAGCAAUAAGCUUUGAAGUCCGUAAUGUCAACUAUUGAGUAGCAACUAGGAAGAAUUAAGUGGCAAUGAACCUCUCUGAUAAUGAAAAAUUAUUAUCUGUAACCUUUCCUAUGUUGAUUACUUAUUCACUCUUUGUGAUUUAAGGCUCUUGUAUUAGUGUUUGGGCCGGUACUGGCAGCCUAUGUUGCACGGAUACUUCAGAAAGUGCGCGUAUCCAGCCGGAUACUGCCCCGAUACUCGGAUACUGCCCCGAUACUGCCCGAUACGUAUCCCGUAAGUAUCCUGUGAUUUAUUGAUUUAAAAUAAAGAAAAUAGUGUUUGAUACGUCUGGGAUACCUCUGGGAUACGUUUUGGAUACGGCAACCCUUCGUUCGACGUGAAAAACCGAAAACUCCUCGAUCCCCUCCUGGUGCCGCACGUCAUCAAUUCCCAGCUCGUCCCCUCGACUCCUUGGAGCAGGCGAGCAGUCGCAGCCCGCAGGUCUCCAACUCUCCAUAAAUUCUCAGCUCCAGUCCUCUCCUCCCCCACAUGUUCUUCUCUCCUUUUUCACUUCUGAACUCCAAUCCAAUCGACGCUGAUCGGUCGUCGGCUCGUCGCCGGCAGAAGACAUCCGUGUCUCCCCUGCAGGAGACCGGCCAUGUCUAGUAGGUCUUCUUCAGUUAGAACUGAAGCAGGCAGUGGAGGUAGCAUGGAUGCAGUCCAUGUAUUGGCUGCUGCUCGUGUGAUUCCGGAAGAUGAUAAUGAGAAGAAGCCUUUGUGGAGGUACGUCCAGACGUUGGAAAAUACUAGGAAAGGGAAAGGAGGCAACAAGAGAUCCAUGUGUAGGCUUUGUGAGUAUGUUAUCAAUGGUAGCUACUCAAGAGUAAAGGCACACCUUUUGAAGAUUCCUAACAUGGGUGUGAGUUCAUGUCAAAAGGUCACUGUCGAUGUUCUUGUUCAGUUGAAAGGUGAGCAAAAGAGAGCCGAUGCACUGAUUGAGAGCAAUAAACCUAGAGAAAUCCCACUGCCAACUGAAGGAUUUGGAGCAAAUGCAAGAAAGAAAAGGGGGGGUAAUCCAAUUGAGGCAUGCUUUGACAUGGAAGCUCGCAACCACCUUGAUGCAUUGAUCGCAAGGAUGUUUUACACAGCAGGGAUCCCAUUCAAUGUUGCACGUAAUCCUUGGUUCAGGGCAGCUUUCAUCUUUGCUGCCGGCCAUGCCAAUUCGUUGGCUGGCUAUGCCCCUCCAAGUUAUGAUAAGCUCAGGACCACUCUUCUGGUGCAAGAGAGGACACAUGUUGAUAGAAUGUUGAUGCCCAUCAAAUCAACAUGGAGCAGCAAAGGUGUGACUAUUGUUUCAGAUGGAUGGUCUGAUCCUCAAAGGCGUCCAUUACUUAAUUUCAUGGCUAUAACAGAAGAUGGGCCCAUGUUUCUAAGGUCAAUUAACACCGAGGGAGAGGUGAAGUCAAAGGAGUACAUCAGGGACAGGCUUUGUGAAAUUAUUGAGGCUGUUGGACCAGCAAAUGUUGUGCAGGUGAUAACAGAUAAUGCAUCAAACUGCAGGGGCGCAGGUCUGUUGGUGCAAGAAAGGUAUAAUCACAUUUUCUGGACUGCAUGUGUUGUGCACACUUUAAAUCUUGCCUUGAAGAGCAUAGGUUCAGCUACUAGCCAGGAUGACCCUCUUUAUGAUCAUUGCAAUUGGAUUAGUGAGAUUGCAGCAGAUGGCUUUCGCAUAAAACAUUUCAUUAUGAGUCAUUCCAUGAGGUUGUCUAUGUUCAAUGCUAGUAGUAAACUGAAAUUGCUUGCUGUGGCUGAUACUAGAUUUGCUUCUCAAGUUGUGAUGUUGAAGAGACUGGUACAAAUAAGACAAGCUCUAACAAUGAUGGUGGUGGGGCCAAAGUGGAAUGACUACAGAAAUGACAAUGUAGAAGGAGCACGAUUUGUGAAAGAAAAAAUACUGGAUGAUGAUUGGUGGAAUAAGGUUGAGUACUUCAUUGAAUUUGCAGAGCCAAUAUAUUCUAUGAUUAGAGCAGCUGAUACAGAUAAACCCUGCCUUCAUCUGACCUAUGAGAUGUGGGAUAUGAUGAUUGAGAAGGUGAAGGAAGUAAUAUACAGGAAAGAAGGUCUAGAACCCCAUGAAGAAUCCCCAUUCUUCUCUGCGGUCAAUGAUGUCUUAAUUUUUCGCUGGACAAAGAGUAGCACUCCGCUGCAUUGCUUGGCUCACUCGCUCAAUCCCAAGUACUACACUACAGCCUGGAUUAGUGAAGUUCCAGGCCGUCAAGCUCCACACAUGGAUCAAGAGAUUUCAGAUGAAAGAAAUGCAUGCUUUAGAAGAUUCUUUCCUCAUGGGGGCCCAGAAAUGAAUGAACUGAAACAGCAGUUUGCCAACUUCAGUCUUAUGGGUCCUGGAUUUAAUGGUUUCGACUCCAUUGAAGAUAGAUCUUUGCUAGAGCCGAAGCAGUGGUGGGGGAUUCAUGGAAAUUCUGCCCCGGCUUUGAGGACCAUUGCUCUGAAAUUACUUGGGCAACCAACCUCCUCUUCUUGUUCUGAAAGGAAUUGGAGUACAUAUGGCAUGAUACACAAUACAUUGAGGAACAGGCUCAACCCUGCACGUGCUGAAGAUUUAGUUUUUGUGCAUCAAAACUUGCGCCUUAUUUCAAGGAAAUCACCAGAGUAUAUAUCUGGCCCAUCCAGAUUUUGGGACAUUGGAGGAGAUAGAUAUGAGCUGUUCGUUGGUGGUGCUGACUUCCUGCAGCAAGCUGAACUAUCACUAGAUGAGCCUGAACUGGAGGACUUGCUGAAUGAAAUUGAAGCGUUGGAUGUGGAUUAGUGAGGUGGAUGAGAGAGCCUUAUUGAUUUGUGAGCUGGUCGUGAUGUGAACUUCAUUUUAUUUUGUGAGAACCUGAACCUAAAUUAUGAUAUUUAUCUAUCUAUGCGACUAUGUGCGUGUGAAUUUGAUGUGCGGAUUGUGAAUGUGAUUACCUUAUUUGUUAAGCAAUUAUUAUGUCAUUAAUCAUUGACAUCG